rnacentral:tRNA from 1 species
CGGAUGUAGCCAAGUGNAUCAAG